UACGGGGGGGGCAAGCGUUGUUCGGAAUUACUGGGCGUAAAGGGCUCGUAGGUGGCCAACUAAGUCAGACGUGAAAUCCCUCAGCUUAACUGGGGAACUGCGUCUGAUACUGGAUGGCUUGAGUUUGGGAGAGGGAUGCGGAAUUCCAGGUGUAGCGGUGAAAUGCGUAGAUAUCUGGAGGAACACCGGUGGCGAAGGCGGCAUCCUGGGCUAACACUGACGCUCAUGCACGAAAGCGUGGGGAGCAAACAGG
rnacentral:rRNA from 1 species